rnacentral:rRNA from 1 species
GACGAACGCUGGCGGCGUGCCUAAUACAUGCAAGUAGAACGCAGUUGCGCACGGGUGAGUAACGCGUAGGUAACUGCCUCAUAGCGGGGGAUAACUAUUGUAAACGAUAGCUAAUACCGCCUACUGUGAGCUAGACCUGCGUUGUAUUAGCUAGUUGGUGAGGUAAAGGCCCACCAAGGCGACGAUACAUAGCCGACCUGAGAGGGUGGUCGGGCAAAAUGGGACUGAGAAAAGGGCCAGACUACUACGGGAGGGAGCAGUAGGGAAUCUUCGGCAAUGGACGGAAGCCGGACCGAGAAACGCCGCGGGAGUUAAGAAGGUUUUCGGAUCGUAAAGCUCUGUUGGUAGAGAAGCGGUAACUAAACAGAAAGGGACGGCUAACUACGUGCCAGCAGCCGCGGUAAUUC